UUAGAAUUAUUGUCUUGUUCAAUCUCUUAGGGUUAUAUUAGAGUAUUUUAAGGUUGUUAGCAGGAGCCUCCCGGGCUAAUCUGAUAACAAGAGAUGAGGAAGUAUGCCCCAAAGCUCCUGCGAGAUUUGUUUUUGGCCGUUUGUGUUGCAGAUUCGCCUUAUUCCUUAGGCUCUUCUGUGUCAAAAAAGCGGCUAUAUCCGUAUAUCUGUUUAAUGGUAGCAAUGUUGUUGUUUAGUGUUAUUUGUUAAUGGGCGAUGAUUAUAAACUUACCCGCGCUUCUGAGAUGCUUUUUUAGGUCAAUGAAGCAUAUACGUGAUGAUUGAUCGUAACAGCUUGAUACGCCAGUUCUGCUUCAGAUUAUUCCUGAUUGAAAAAGCUGUAUUCCUAUCUGAGCCUUUAUUAGUGUUUCUUUUUACAAAGUGUUUGUUUUUGAAUUGUCGAUGAUGAUAUAAUCCAAUCUUUACGAGGUGCAGUGGAGCUGAGACCCUGUUUUCAGGGAGAACCCCUUGGCAGAAACUGCAAUUUCUAUGAUUUCUUUGGGUUUUACUGAGGCUUCUUCAUUACUUUAUGUUUAUGUUUUCAUUAGUAAUUAAAUCUAUUUGAGUUUAAACUAUACACUUGCACUUGUUUCAUAGUGCCUGUAGUCUGAAAAAACUCAUAUAUUUUCAGUGUUCUCAUCAGCUUCGUCUCAUCUUUAUAACCAUGAGACUAGGAGUUAAACAAGUUCACUACAUUAUCAUCUUCUUCCAUAAUUAACCCGAGUUUUUGUUUUGCUCUGUCCGAGUAUGAUGUUGCCUUUAUUCAUUAGAUUGUAAUUGAAUGACUUGGUUAAUGAACGGCUUUGGUGGAAUGGAUAUCUCAUGAGAGACCUAUAGAAAUUGAAUUACAAGUUCUUGUAAAUGAGAAAGGUUGGCAAUGAUAUAUUAUGAUUCCAGGGAAAUUAAGAUUGGUGAACAAGUUGUUGGUGAAGAA